GACGAACCGUGCGAACGUUAUUCGGAAUCACUGGGCUUAAAGGGCGCGUAGGCGGCGCGGUAAGUCGGGUGUGAAAUCUCGGAGCUUAACUCCGAAACUGCAUUCGAUACUGCCGUGCUUGAGGACUGGAGAGGAGACUGGAAUUUACGGUGUAGCGGUGAAAUGCGUAGAUAUCGUAAGGAAGACCAGUGGCGAAGGCGGGUCUCUGGACAGUUCCUGACGCUGAGGCACGAAGGUCAGGGGAGCAAACGGG
rnacentral:rRNA from 1 species